UCACCGUCCCGCCACGUGUACGGUGCGUUGCUGAACUCGACUUCUUAUUGUGUGUAUGCGUGCGUGCGUGCGAGACUCCUUCGCCACAAAUAGACAACAAACGACUCAUCUGCCAUACCGGGAGAACGCAGCUGAGUGUGCUCUCCUUGCACUUUCACUGCUAUUCUACCGUGCGUCGAAAUACGUGGGGCGCUUGUGCUUCGGGCGCGAUGCGCACAAGUGUGCGAUGGUCGGAGACGGCGGAUGCGGUAAACGGUAUCCGUCCCCCCAUCAACAGCCUCUGCUACAGCCCGUCCGGGGACUAUGUGGUGGCGUCGUGCGGCGUGCGUGUGCUGGUGUACGCCGCGUCCACAGGCACCCUAUUACACUCGCUGAAGGGUCACCAGAACACGAUCUACUGCGUAGACUACGCGUCGGAUGGUAAGUGCUUCGCCAGCGGCGGGGCUGAUCGGACGGUCAUUGUGUGGUCAAACAAGGGUGAGGGCAUUGUGAAGUACCAGCACAAGGAGUCCAUCCAGGCCCUGGCGCACAACCCCAGCUCCUCUCAUUUGGCGUCCGUGUCGAGCACUGACUGGGGCAUCUGGUCGCCAGAUCAGUCGAAGGUCUCCAAGUACUCGCUUCCGUCGAAAGGGUUAUGUGCUGCCUGGACGCCCAGUGGCAAAACACUGGCGAUCGGCUUGCUGAAUGGCAUCAUUAUGCUGAUUGACAAGACUAGCGACGAGACGGUCCUCAUUCGCCGACCAGCGCCUGUCUGGACUCUCGCCUUUACGCCGCUGCGAGAUAAAGGCAUCGACGUGCUCGCGGUCGGCUCGUGGGAUCAGCGGCUGUCCUUUUACAACCUUUCGGGCACACCUGUCGGGCGAGAGCGGGAGCUUGACUUUGACCCGUGCAGUCUGUCGUACUUCAAUGACGGCGAGUACAUGCUGCUCAGCGGCAGUGACCAUAAGGUGACGCUGUUCACGAGCGAUGGCAACCGGCUCAUUCAAGUCGCCGGCGCGGAUGACUGGAUUUGGUCUGCGCGGCAGCGGCCGCGACACAAGCAGCUCUGCUACGGCACCAACGACGGCACCGUAAGCUGCAUCGACAUCGCCAUCACCACCGUCCACGCCAUCCACGAUGACCAGUACGUGUAUCGCAAGGACAUGACGAAUUUAGUCGUGCAUCAGCUCUUGCUUGAUCGUAAAAUGGUGAUACCAUGCAAUGAGUAUGUGCAUAAGAUCGCCACGUUUCUUGAUCGACUCGCGGUACAGUUGCAGGAGCGCGUCAUCGUCUUCGAGUUCUUUUACGACGAGGAGCGUAACAUGCGCUAUCAGGACAUCGCGCAGGUUCGCCGUCGCCUCGAGUGCUCGCUGCUGUGCGUAACAACGAACGCCAUUGUUGUGUGCAACGACAGGCGUAUUACGAUGUACGACUUCCAGGGGAACAAGCGGCGGGAGUGGUCGAUGGAGAGCGCGGUGCAGUUUAUGAAGGUCGCGGGUGGGAUGGAGGGGCGAGAGAUUCUGCUCGUCGGGCUGACGGGUGGCCAAGUGAUGAAGGUGUUUGUCGACAACCCUUUCCCCACCCUGUUGCACAAGGGUAGCGCACCAGUCAAGAGCGCGGACUUCAGCAGCUCGCGCAGCCGCCUCGCCGUUAUCGACAGCUGCAACACCCUCCAGGUCUUGAGGUUAGGCGAAAAGAAUGAGCUGCUCUUCUCCGAGGACAACGUCACGGCGGCGGCGUUCAACGUCGACUUGGAGGACAGUAUCGCGUUCACGACUGGCGACAAUACUCUGCACAUUAAGACAGGCUCGCUGCCAGCGUACCAGCAAGCGGUGCGCGGCCUCGUCGUUGGCUUCAAGGCAAACCGCGUCUUCAACCUUCAUUACUCCAACGUGAUGGUGGUCGACGUGCCACACGCACACGCGCUGUACAAGUAUGUAGAAAUGCGAGACCUCGACCGAGCCUACGAUGUCGCGUGUCUCGGCGUGGCCGAAGCCGACUGGAAGAUGCUGGGGCUGCAUGCGAUGAGCCAGCUACGUCUCGACAUCGCGCGCAAGGCCUUUACGCACAUACAGGACGUGAAGCUCGUUGAGUUGCUGAAGUCGCUGGAGCUGCGGCGCCGCCAAUCGAGAGUCGAGGACGGGGUGCCGCCGACGGCAAGAAACGGCAGUGCCGCUUCCGCCACGGUGGUAGCGACCACGGACAAGGGAGGCGCCGGUCCUGGCGGCGAGUCCACGGCAGCGCGCGCGGCGGCAAAGGAUAGCGUGCUGUACGGCAGCAUCCUCGCCUUCCAGGGCAAGUACCACGAUGCGGCACGGCAAUUCAUGAAGGCCGGCUGUGAGCUGAAGGCGGUGGAGAUGUACUGCGACCUGAAAAUGUGGGACAAUGCGAAAAAGAUCUGCACAAACGAGAAGGUGCUCAAGGAUCUGAUUCGGCAGCAGGCGCGCUGGGCCGAGGACUCGCAGAACUUCAUCGAGGCCGCCUCGCUCUACGAGAGCUGCGGAGACUACGCGAAGGCGAUCGGCAUGAUGGGCCAAGCAGGCCAGGUGGAGAAGUUGAUGAAGAUGUGCCGCAGCCUGCCCAAGUCGGAGGUCACUCUCAUAACCGAGUGCGCCAAUUUCUUUCGCAAACACAACGCCAUCCCGUUCGCCAUCGAGGCGUAUGAGAAGGUGCAGGACCACCAAGCGCUUAUCGGUAUCUACGUCGCUCGCGGCGACUGGCGCAACGCUUUCACCAUCCUGGAGAAGGCACCGACCCUCGCGCGCGAGGUGUACGUGCCAUGGGCGAGUUGGCUGGCCGACAACGACAAGUUCGACGAGGCCUUGGAGGCGUUCCGGGCGGCUAAGUGGCCGAAGGAGGCGAUGCGCCUAAUGGAAACGCUGGCGACAAACAGCGUCACGUGUCGCAAGUUCCGUGACGCCGCCUUCUACUACAUUCAUCUGGCCGAGGAGUACGGGCGCUUUGAAGACGGCGAGAAGCCUACUGACGUGGAGAAGGCGGCGCGAAUCCGACGCAGCAAGGAGUGUGUUCGCCGUGCUGACAUCUACUACGCCUUCUCGAGCGUCUAUGCCCACACCACGCAGCCGCUACCGUACAACGAGCUCAGCCUCUUUCGGGCAGCCAAGUACCUCUUCGGCAUGUGUGCCGAGUGUGCCAUUCCCAUGAACGUCGGCAAGGGUGCCAUUCUCUACACCCUUUCCCGCAUCGCCAACCGGCUAGAGAUGGUGCGCACGGCGCGCGCUGUGUUCGAGAAGCUGCAGGGCGUGAUUCUUCCGGUGUCCAUGAUGGAGCAGGUGGACAUCGAGACGCUCAUUGUGCGCAGCAAGCCGGUAAAAGAUCGCGAGGAGCUGCUGGACCGGUGCUUCCGCUGCAACCAGCUUCUUGCGCAGCUGCCGAUGGCUGGAGAUCGCUGCCCCAACUGCUUCCACCAGUGCGUCCGCUCCUUCGUUAACUUUGAAUGCCUGCCGCUGGUCGAGUUCAUUCUCGCCGACGACCUCGCCGACGAGGAGGCGGAGCGGAUCAUCGUCUCCGGCAUUGGUCGGCGGAAGUCGGCGGACGAUGAGCACAACAAUGGCCAGAGCGACGCGUCGGAUGCCAAGGCGUUGCUCAAGGCGAAGGAGUGGCAGUCCGACAGCGGCGCAAACGUCAUCAGCUUCGACGAUGGCAACAUCGACUACGAAAUUGAUCAGCAGCUCGUCGCGAUGGGCCGCUCCAAGGCGGCGGCGAAUAAGGGCAAUGACCCCUUCUUUACGCAGUUGCAGUACGUGCUGCGGCCCGGCCGCCCCACCGCGGCCUACCAGCCGUUUGUCGCGUCGGCGGAUAUCCUGAAGGGAUUCCGCCGCGACGAGGUGUUCAUUGUGCGACCGAGAUACGGCACGCUGCCCGUGCCCAACCGCUACUACCGCCUGAUGCGCUCCGACGUGAACGUGUGCUUGUGCAGCGGCUGCCAGCACUUCUUCAUUGCAGAAGAUUACGAGGCGGAGUGCACGAAAGGCAGCGGCUGUCCACUCUGCCGCUACCGUCCCGGGAAGCAAGUGAGCCGCUCGAUGAAACAGAUUCUGUUCGACAUGGAUGCCGCCGCUGCGGUGACGACGACUUCAAGCACGCCGGUCACUCUGUGACAUGAACUACGAUCACCGAACGCGGGCAGGUUAUGGGUAGUGGGUGCUAUCUACGUUUUCUACUGGCGAGGUACUUUCACAGUGGUUACGCGGUUUUUUAUUCUUUCCUCACACCUCUCUCCCUAACCCGCCGCCGCCGCCGCCGUGUUUGGUUGGGAGUGUUGUGUGUUCGUGGUGUGUUGGGACAGCUCUUUGCUUGCUCGUUUGCUCCCCGUACUCCCCCUCCUCCGCUCCUUUUCAUAGAAGGUGGUGGCAGGCGUGUGUGCGUGUGUGCGCGUGUGUGAGGGGUGGGGCGAGGGGUCGAAGGCGCCUUCCUCAAGAUGUAUGUCUAGCACCUUUUUGUAUAGACCAGUUAUGCGGCUCUCACGCGUUUUCUCGUCCUCGGUGCCUGGACAAGCCACACGCACCCUUCUCUUUCUCUUUCCCUGUGUGUGUAUUUGCCGGUGCUGGUGCGCCCGGAUGCGUGUGGGUGAUCGCGGCAUCCUGCACAAGAGUGCGUAUAACAGAGGCGGCGAAACCCGCUGGAAGACG
rnacentral:misc_RNA from 1 species